GACGAACGCUGGCGGCGUGCCUAAUACAUGCAAGUGGAACGCAGUAGUGAUCACCGGAGCUUGCUCCACCGAUUAGUACUGAGUCGCGAACGGGUGAGUAACGCGUAGGUAACCUGCCUUGAAGAGGGGGAUAACUAUUGGAAACGAUAGCUAAUACCGCAUAAAAUAGCGAGUUGCAUGACUGGCUAUUGAAAGGUGCAAUCGCGUCACUUCAAGAUGGACCUGCGUUGUAUUAGCUAGUUGGUAGGGUAACGGCCUACCAAGGCGACGAUACAUAGCCGACCUGAGAGGGUGAUCGGCCACACUGGGACUGAGACACGGCCCAG
rnacentral:rRNA from 1 species